rnacentral:rRNA from 1 species
CCUACGGGAGGCAGCGGUGAGGAAUAUUGGUCAAUGGCCGUAAGGCUGAACCAGCCAAGUCGCGUGAAGGAAGAAGGAUCUAUGGUUUGUAAACUUCUUUUAUAGGGGAAUAAAGGUAUCCACGUGUGGAUAUUUGCAUGUACCCUAUGAAUAAGCAUCGGCUAACUCCGUGCCAGCAGCCGCGGUAAUACGGAGGAUGCGAGCGUUAUCCGGAUUUAUUGGGUUUAAAGGGUGCGUAGGUUGUUUUUUAAGUCAGCGGUGAAAGUUUGUGGCUCAACCAUAAAAUUGCCGUUGAAACUGGAAGUCUUGAGUGUGUUUGAGGUAGGCGGAAUGCGUGGUGUAGCGGUGAAAUGCAUAGAUAUCACGCAGAACUCCGAUUGCGAAGGCAGCUUACUAAGCCAUAACUGACACUGAAGCACGAAAGCGUGGGGAUCAAACAGGAUUAGAUACCCCAGUAGUC